rnacentral:lncRNA from 1 species
UGAAGUGAUGAAGUAUGCACUGGGCUCUGAGAGUAAUUGAUUAAUUGCUUGAUUUGAUGCAUAUUGCAGCCUAGAAAGCUAGUCUGAUCAUUUAUCUUGAUUAAUAAUAAGUAUUAUUUAAUUUAUUUGUUUAUUUAUUAAUUUAUUUUAAUAAUAAUUUUGGUAUUGCUAUGAUGAUUGAACUUGCAUCCCAGCUCACUAUGAGACCUUGAUAUGUUUGAGGUUCUUGAUUACAAAUAGUUCAUUUUAAUCUGAGCUUUUA